rnacentral:rRNA from 1 species
UACGAAGGGGGCGAGCGUUGUUCGGAAUUACUGGGCGUAAAGGGCGCGCAGGCGGCCCUUGAAGUCAGGCGUGAAAGCCCCGGGCUCAACCUGGGAGGUGCGCUUGAUACUCGAGGGCUUGAGUGCGGGAGAGGAGAGUGGAAUUCCCAGUGUAGAGGUGAAAUUCGUAGAUAUUGGGAAGAACACCGGUGGCGAAGGCGGCGACCUGGUCCUUGACUGACGCUGAGGCGCGAAAGCGUGGGGAGCAAACAGG